UGUUUGCCCCAAAAAAUUUGCAUUUAUAGUGUAUUUUUUCGAUUGGGGGGGCGUGAAAACCCUAUUUGUGGGUACUUGCACUCGGAAGGGCCAAGAUGAAUGUUAGGUAGUCAGACAUAGUACGAUAAGGUUGUAUGUCUAAAGGGAAACAGCCCAGAACAAGAGUUAAUAAGGUUCCAAAAUUAUUGUUAAGUGAAAAUAAGGAAGUAUUUAUCCAAUUCGGCCAGGAAAUAGGCUUAGGAGCGGCCACAAUUUAAAGACCUCGUAGCAGAGCACUGGUUCAGUAAGCUGUAUAACAUACGCUUUACAACAAAAAAGUAAAAGCACCGAAAAUUUAACGGAUCUAAACAAUAUACCGAGACCUUGUCCAUAUUUGGUAAUAUAUAUAUGUUAUAUAUUCUAUACAUGGGGUAGCAGAACAUUGGGCAAAUAUUAGAUUUUUCCUUCUAUAGGACUAUAAUUAUAUAACCCAAGUGAUAAUGCUGACAUGAGUAACGAUAAAGGGUAUUUUUAUACCCUCGCCUUAAGCUUAUGGUAUUUACUUAAAGUAACGGCCUCUAAGUUUAUAUUUUAUAUAUAACAGUAAACUACAAAUGUAAAUAAACUAAAAAGAUGAUACAAAUGCAAGGGCUGCCUAUAUAGCGAAGCCCUAAAGGACUAAACGAUGAGAAAAUCUAGUAGGGUCUACUGCUAAAUAACCUUUGUGCGCGAGAUAUCCGACACUUUACCUGGGUCACCUGUGUAAAUUAAUUUAGGAUAUUUUGUGUUAGAGUGACGGAGUGUUCCGGAAAACUUUAGACCCAGCAAGGGGUAAUGCCCAUGUUAUUGA
rnacentral:rRNA from 1 species